UUGGGUUUAGAGUUUAUCCUUUGAGUUUAGGAUUUAUCAUUUGGGUUUAGGGUUUAUCUUUUAGAUAUAUGAAAAAACCCAUAAGAAGACAUAGGAUAACUUCUUGCAUUAUGAAUUAACCGCCAUUACAACUAAUAUUAAGAUUAGUUGUUCUUAUAAAGUCUUAUCUAGUUAACAACAUUUCAAUUACAUGUUGGAGUUGUUAGCUAGAAUUUAUCCAAGGGUUUAGGGUUUACCCAAAGAUUUAAAGUUUUGUGUUUAAGAUUUACCCAACGGUUUAAAGUUUACCCAAAGUUUUAGGGUUUAGUGUUUAUGAUUAGGGUUUAAUGACGGCGUUAGCAAUGUUAAAAAAAAAUUCCAUUUUUUGCAGCUACUGCUAUUUUUUAUUUAUUUUUAAAAAAUUGACAAUUUUUUUUUAUUAUUUUUUUUUUCAAAAAAAUUGAAAAUGAAGUGGCAAUCUGUUAUUGGUUGGUGAACCUACCUAAGAAAAACUCUUGGGUUCACCUCACCUCCUAGGAUGAACCAGUAGAUUUAUCAACCAAUAGUAUUUUGUUAUUUCAUAUUCCAUAUCUUUUUAAAAAGAAAACAAAAUAAAAAAUUCAUCAAGUUAUAUUAUGUUUUUAAAAUAAAAAGAUGAAAAUAAUUAGAAAAUAGUAAUGGCUGUCAAAAAAAGAUUUUUUUUUUUAAAUAUGCCGGCAAUACAGUAAACCCUAAAAUCCUAAUUACGAAAUCUAAAUACUAAAUCCUAAAUCAUUGGGUAAACUCUAAACCCUUGGGAAACCAUAAAUCCUAGAGUUUAGGGUUUAAGAUUAAGGAUUUAGUGUUUUAAGAUUUUAGUGUUUAGUGUUUAUGAUUUGGGGUUUAAGAUUUAUCCAAUGGUUUAGGGUUUACCCAAAGAUUUAGGGUUUAGUAUUAAGGGUUUAGUGUUUUGGUAACGACGUUAAAAAUCCUUUUUUUUGCUACUAUUUUUAUUUAUUUUACAUUUUUAUUUUAAAAAUAUAAUAUAAUUUGUUUUUAUUGUUUUUUUACUUUUUAUAAAAAAAUAUGAAAUAUGAAAUAAUAAAAUACUAGAGUUGAACCCAAGAAACACUCUUAUUUUAGUGGGUACAAUUGAGUUUAAAACAUUUAAUUUAAAUA
rnacentral:lncRNA from 1 species